rnacentral:rRNA from 1 species
UACGGAGGGUGCAAGCGUUAAUCGGAAUUACUGGGCGUAAAGCGUGCGUAGGCGGUUCGUUAAGUCUGUUGUGAAAGCCCCGGGCUCAACUGGGAAUGGCAAUGGAUACUGGCGAGCUAGAGUGUGUCAGAGGAUGGUGGAAUUCCCGGUGUAGCGGUGAAAUGCGUAGAGAUCGGGAGGAACAUCAGUGGCGAAGGCGGCCACCUGGGACAACACUGACGCUGAGGCACGAAAGCGUGGGGAGCAAACAGG